AUCGCUUCUCGGCCUUUGGCUAAGAUCAAGUGUAGUAUCUGUUCUUAUCAGAGUGGAGAACUGCUUGUUUUUAUUCCAUUGGGAUCGUGUUUGCGAUAUAAUUCCUUUUGACGGCGAUUGAAGCUCUGCUCUCAAAGUCAGUAAGGAAGCACAAGAGCUGUUUUUACGGCUAUUGAAUUCUUG